rfam:Paenibacillus sp. IHBB 10380, complete genome.
GGGUGCAUCUGCUGCCCCUUAUCGCUGCAGAACUCGGCUGUGCUGUAGGUCAGUUCAUUGACCUUAGACGUGAAUCGUCAAGGGUGCGGUGCGGGGGAACAGAGGUAAGACCACU